GCCUCCCUGGCACAUGAAAUUAGGGAUCACACGGUGGAACGAUGAUCCCUUGUAAUGAAGGGGUUUGCCGCUCCUACCGACUCCUUUCUCACCAGUGCAGAGUGCACGGAAGUUCUCGGCCGUGCGGGGAGUGACAUCGGCGUACAGCUCCAUCACGAUCCGGCCGGCUGGUUGGCCGCCGAUUGUCAUGUCGAAGAAAACUCUAGGGUUUGGCAUUGUUGUUUGUUUCUCUGAGUUCCGA
rnacentral:misc_RNA from 1 species